GGAUGUAAGGGUGAUCUGGCUGUGACACCCCAUUGAUCACCAGUGUUGAUUCAGCUGAUCUGGCUGGCCAGGCGGGUGUCCCCUUCCUCCCUCGCCGCUCUAUGUACAUCCCUCCCAAAGGUGCGCACUCGAAGAGGACGACCUUUCCCGAUAGAGAAGAGGACCGUUCUUCAUUCAACAGUAUAUGAGUAGCUGCAUUCCCCUGCUAGAACUUCCAAACAAACUCUCAAAAAGAGGCCGCCAAAAGCAGAUUCCUAGAUGUUGCAAGGACAUGCCAUUUGUCUAGGA
rnacentral:snRNA from 1 species